rnacentral:RNase_P_RNA from 1 species
CGAGUUGGCCGGGCGGCCGCGGGACCGAAAGGUUUCGAGGAAAGUCCGGACUUCACAGAGCAGGGUGAUUGCUAACGGCAAUCCGAGGUGACUCGCGGGACAGUGCCACAGAAAACAGACCGCCACCGCAAGGUGGUAAGGGUGAAACGGUGCGGUAAGAGCGCACCAGCAUUCCGGGUGACCGGAGUGGCUAGGUAAACCCCACCCGAAGCAAGGCCAAGAAGGCCGCAACCUGGUUGCGGCUGCGCAGGUGCCCGAGGGCUGCUCGCCCGAGCCUGCGGGUAGGCCGCUCGAGGUACCCGGCGACGGUGUGCCCAGAUGGAUGGUCGCCGCCUCGCCGCCAGUCGUGGUGGCGAGGAACAGAAUCCGGCUUACAGGCCAGCUCGUCCG